AUUCCAGCUCCAAUAGCGUAUAUUAAAGUUGCUGCAGUUAAAAAGCUCGUAGUUGGAUUUGUGGCGCGGCCGUCCGGCACGGAUCCUUCAUUGGGCCCGUUUGUCCGGUUUUUCGGCCGCCCCAUUCUCGGGUAGUGUGUCGCUGGCAUUAGGUUGUCGGCUUCUUCACGCCCGUCGUUUACUGUGAAAAAAUUAGAGUGUUCAAAGCAGGCUUAGGCCGUUGGAUACAUUAGCAUGGAAUAAUGAGAUAGGGCCACGACGGUCUAUUUUGUUGGUUUGCACGUUGUGGUAAUGAUUAACAGGAACGGUUGGGGGUAUUCGUUUUCAAUUGUCAGAGGUGAAAUUCUUGGAUUUAUGGAAGACGAACUACUGCGAAAGCAUUUACCAAGGAUGUUUUCAUUA
rnacentral:rRNA from 1 species